rnacentral:rRNA from 1 species
AACGAACGCUGGCGGCGUGCCUAACACAUGCAAGUCGAACGAGAAAUUCCGAUUCGUCGGAAGAGUAGAGUGGCGAACGGGUGAGUAACGCGUGGGUAAUCUGCCCUUGAGUUCGGGAUAACUUCGCGAAAGCGGAGCUAAUACCGAAUAAAACUGACCUUGUUCCGGCAAGAUCAGUAAAAGAUGGCCUCUACAUGUAAGCUGUCGCUUAAGGAUGAGCCCGUGUACCAUUAGCUUGUUGGUAGGGUAAUGGCCUACCAAGGCAACGAUGGUUAGCUGGUCUGAGAGGAUGAUCAGCCACACUGGAACUGAGACACGGUCCAGACUCCUACGGGAGGCAGCAGUGGGGAUUUUGCGCAAUGGGGGAAACCCUGACGCAGCGACGCCGUGUGAGUGAUGAAGGCCUUCGGGUCGUAAAGCUCUGUCAGGUGGGAAGAAAUAUCUCGAUACGAAUAAUAUCGGGGUUUGACGGUACCACCAAAGGAAGCACCGGCUAACUCCGUG